GCCUAGUUACCUUGGAGGGUAGAGCGUCUGCCUUGUAACCGCUAGGCCGCGGGUUCGAUUCCCGCACGAGGCG
rnacentral:tRNA from 1 species